GGUGGCUCUGCUCGGGUUGGAGCAACGUCCUGAAAAGACGUCUGGCAGGUUCGAUUCCUGUCUUUGU
rnacentral:tRNA from 1 species